AUAAUUAUUAUCACAUGUAAAUCUUUUGGUUUAAUGAAUUUUUUUUUAUGAAAUCUAUAUACAUUAUAUUAAUACUUUCCUGCUUUAAUAAUUAAAAAUAAAAAAUAAGAGAGUAUAAAAAAAAAAAAAAAAAAACUUAAAAAAGUUGAAUUUUUUUUUUUUUUUUUUAUUGAUUGAAGUUCAUGAUUUGUUUAUUAUAACAAUAUUCAAAUAUAUGUUUUUUAAAAGUUUGUUAAACAUGUUUGCUUUAAUUAUGUUUCAUUUUUAUAUUUUUUAAAAAAAUAUACAUUUUUAUAAAUAAUUAAUAAAAAAAAUUAUAUACAAAAAUUUAAUAUAAACAUAUAUACAAAUAUAAACAAAAAGAAAUUGCAAAUAUAUUUAUAUAUACUUAUUACUACUUCAAAAAAAAUAUAUGGAAAAAUAUAUGUUUCAUAAGUAUAAUUUUUUCACAUUUUUAUUUUUUUUUCGUUUUAUACGAAAAUAUAAACUAAAUUAUAUAGCUCAUAUACACGAACUAAUAUAUUUUUGUUUGGACAAAAUGUUAAAAUCCGACGUAAACUUACUACAUAAAUAUCUAAAUAAAAUAUAUAAUGUUUAGCGAAUGCAAUUAUAUAUAUAUAUGUACAUAUAUAAAAAUAUAUAUUAAUUAUUAACCCGAACUAUGUAUCAUAAAAAUUACAUACGCUAACAUACACAUGUUAAUGUACAUAUGCAUUAUUUAUUAUAUCGAAUGGAACAAAAAACAGUUGGAGCAAAGGUCAAGUAAAAAGAAAAUUCGUUUAAAAACAAGAUAACUUAAGAACAAGGAGACUUAUAAAUACAGUAACUUAAAAACGGAGUGACAUAGUAACCAUAAAUAUGGACUAUUUUGAUGAAGAUCUACUAUUUGAGAAUAGCUCAAGUGAUGAAAAAGCAAAAAAAAACAAAAAAAAAUAUGAAAACUUUUAUAAAAACUACAAAAAGAAAAGAAAAGAUGAUAAUAUAAAAGAUGAUGAUUAUUUGAAACCUGUAAAAUUUGUUAGUGCAGGUUUUUUAAAUAAUAAUAAAUCUAAUAACAAUAAAAAGGAGGAAGGAGAAGGAGAAGAAGAAGAAGAAGAUGAUUAUGAUAUAAAUUAUUACUCUACAAGCGAUGAUUCAGAUGAUUAUGAAAAAUAUGAUGUAUUUAAACACUUUGUUUUUGAUUUAAAUUUUGAUGUAGAAAAUCAAGAAUGUGAUUUUAUAAAAGAUAAUUUAAAAAAAUAUAACUUAAACGAACUGCAGGAAAGUGAUAAACACUUUGAACAAUAUGGUUUAGGAUUCAAAAUAUUAAAAAAAAUGGGUUAUGAAGAUGGAAUAGGAAAUAAAAUAAAAACUAAUAUUGCUCCUAUAGAAAUUAAAAAAAAACACGCACGAUUUAUGGAAGAAAAAGAAAGUAAAUAUUCGGAUGAUUAUAAUUCUAAUGAUGAUAAUUACUCUAAUGAUAAUUAUAAUGAUAUUUUUGAUACACUCAAAGAUAUUGAUAACUUAUGGAGAAAAAAUGGAACUAAUUGUAAAAAGUGUUGGAAUUUUAAUAAAAUAAAAAAUCAAGUCAAAGAUUGGUUAAACUAUCAAGCUUCUUAUUUACCUAAUGAAAUAUCUUAUAAUAACCUUGAUCAAAUUGAUGACACAUAUAUAUUUAAUAUACAGAAUGUUCAACACAACAUGAAUCAAUAUAUUAAAAAAUUAUCGAUAGAGUAUUUUGAUGCUAAAAAAAAAAAAAAACUUUUACAAAAUAAAUUAAAAAAUUAUAAAAAAAGCACAAACGAAAAUGAUAUUUACAAAGCGCACUUGUUAAUUUUAAAAAAUAUAUUAACAUAUAAAUAUUUACUUAACCUACAUACAAUACUUGCUUAUCCGCCUAUGUUAUGUAAUAAAACUUAUAAUGAAUAUCUGUUUGAUUAUAAUCAUGAUUAUAAAAAACAAAUACAAAUUGAAGAAAAUAACAAUAAUGAUAAAAAUAUGGAACAAGACUUAACGCGGCCAAAUAUUACUUUCAAUACAACAGAUGAUGAUAAGUUAAUAAAUAUUCAUAAUCAUUAUUUAUCCAAUAUAUGUAAUAAAAACAAUGAAACAUACUACAUACAAGUUGCCGAUACAUUGUGUGAAACUUACAAUAUUAAUGAUAAUGAUACGUUUGAAAAAAAAUUAAAUGACAUACUAAUAAGAAAUUAUAAAACAUUAUGUGAACAUAAUUAUUUUAAAAAUGUUCAAAAGGAAUCCAAACGUACAUUACAACAUAAUAAUACAUACAAAUUAUUAGAAAAUUUAGAAACUAUAUACCAUUUAAUAAAUAUUAAAAAUAUUCAAGUUAAAAAAAAAAACGAUCCAUUAUUUUUAAGUGAUUUAUAUAUUUUUAUGUUUUUUAUUUAUGAAAAUGCUAAAUUUUUAUGUUUAAAUAAACAUGUGUCCUACUUUUUUUUAGAGUUCUUAAGAGUUUAUUUUUAUAAUAAACAAAAUCAAAAUGUUCAAGAAAGUCUAAAGAAUGAUAUAUUAUUAAGUGACAAAUAUCAUGAAGAAAUUAUUCCAGACAAACAGCAAAAUGUAUUGCGCGAACAAAUAAGGUCAACAAAAAAAGAACUUACCCAAAACGAACAUGCACAAACAUAUCUUACUAAUUCUCUUGAUGCACAAACAAAUCAAAAUGUUAUAAAUCACAUACAACACAAUAAUGACAAAAAUAUUAAAUAUAAUAAAAAUCUUAACAACAAUAAUGAAACAAUCAAUGAAAAUAACAUAAAAUAUUUAAUACAUUUAAAAAAAUUAGUUUUAAUGGGCAUUCAUGAACAUAAUACAACCGAAUAUCAUAAUGUUGAAAUUCAAUUUGAUAAUAUAAUAUAUUUUAAUUUAAUUUAUAAUCAAAUUGAAGAACAAAAUUAUUAUGAAUUUUUUAAUUAUAUAACACUUUUUAAAGAUGCUUUUAGUAACAAUUAUUACAAAAAAAUUUUAAUAUUUUUUAUUAAAAAAAAAAUAAUAACAAAUAUAACUGUUAGUGAAAAUAACCAACUAAAUGAAAAUACGCUUUUGGACAUAAAAUUUAAAUUAUCUUUAUUAUUUGAUAUUAAUAAACAGUUUGAUAUCAGUUCUUACAUAAAUCAAUAUUAUACACAAACAUUAUCUAAUUAUUUACGGUAUUGUGAUAUAUCAGCUAAUUACAUAAAAUUAAUUAAAUUAACAAUUAAAAAUAAUAUGUACAAAAAAGAAAUUUUUGAAAUCAUUGUA
rnacentral:lncRNA from 1 species